rnacentral:rRNA from 1 species
AGGAUGAACGCUGGCGGCGUGCCUAAUACAUGCAAGUCGAGCGGUAAGGCCUCUUCGGAGGUACACGAGCGGCGGACGGCUGAGUAACACGUAGGAACGUACCCCAAAGUGAGGAAUAACUGUCCGAAAGGGUGGCUAAUGCCGCAUGUGCUCUAAGGAGUAAAGCUUUAUGCGCUUUGGGAACGGCCUGCGUCCGAUUAGCUUGUUGGUGAGGUAAUAGCUCACCAAGGCGACGAUCGGUAGCUGGUCUGAGAGGAUGAUCAGCCACACUGGAACUGAGGCACGGUCCAGACACCUACGGGUGGCAGCAGUUUCGAAUCAUUCACAAUGGGCGAAAGCCUGAUGGUGCGACGCCGCGUGAGGGAUGAAGGCCUUCGGGUUGUAAACCUCUGUCACCGGAGAAGAAACGCUUCAAGUUAACAGUUUGAAGCCUGACUUAACCCGGAGAGGAAGCAGUGGCUAACUCUGUGCCAGCAGCCGCGGUAA